UACGUAGGGUGCAAGCGUUGUCCGGAAUUAUUGGGCGUAAAGAGCUCGUAGGCGGUCUGUCGCGUCUGGUGUGAAAAUCAGGGCUUAACCCUGGACCUGCAUCGGGUACGGGCAGACUAGAGUCCGGAAGAGGAGAGUGGAAUUCCUGGUGUAGCGGUGAAAUGCGCAGAUAUCAGGAAGAACACCCGUGGCUAAGGCGGCUCUCUAGUACGGUACUGACGCUGAGACGCGAAAGCGUGGGGAGCGAACAGG
rnacentral:rRNA from 1 species